UCUGAAUAUGGGGGGACCAUCCUCCAAGGCUAAAUACUCCUGACUGACCGAUAGUGAACCAGUACCGUGAGGGAAAGGCGAAAAGAACCCCGGCGAGGGGAGUGAAAAAGAACCUGAAACCGUGUACGUACAAGCAGUGGGAGCACCUUCGGGUGUGACUGCGUACCUUUUGUAUAAUGGGUCAGCGACUUAUAUUCUGUAGCAAGGUUAACCGUAUAGGGGAGCCGCAGGGAAACCGAGUCUUAACUGGG
rnacentral:rRNA from 1 species